rnacentral:rRNA from 1 species
GACGAACGCUGGCGGCGUGCUUAACACAUGCAAGUCGAACGGAAAGGCCUCUUUCGGGGGGUACUCGAGUGGCGAACGGGUGAGUAACACGUGAGUAACCUGCCCUUGACUUUGGGAUAACUUCAGGAAACUGGGGCUAAUACCGGAUAGGAGCUCCUGCUGCAUGGUGGGGGUUGGAAAGUUUCGGCGGUUGGGGAUGGACUCGCGGCUUAUCAGCUUGUUGGUGGGGUAGUGGCUUACCAAGGCUUUGACGGGUAGCCGGCCUGAGAGGGUGACCGGCCACAUUGGGACUGAGAUGCGGCCCAGACGCCUACGGGAGGCAGCAGUGGGGAAUAUUGAACAAUGGGUGGAAGCCUGAUGCAGCAACGCCGUGUGCGGGAUGACGGCCUUCGGGUUGUAAACCGCUUUCGCUCAUGACGAAGCUUUGUGUGACGUUAGUGGGUAAAGAAGCACCGGCUAACUACGUG